AUCACCUGGGAAUCUUAUAAUAAUGCAGAUUCUGAUUCAGUAAAUUUCGAUAGCGCUGUGAUUCUGCAUUUCUAACAAGCUCCCAGGUGAUGCUGC
rnacentral:pre_miRNA from 1 species